CCCUUAGAUGUUCUGGGCCGCACGCGCGCUACACUGAUGCAUUCAACAAGCCUAGCCUUGACCGAGAGGUCCGGGUAAUCUUUGAAACUGCAUCGUGAUGGGGCUAGAUUAUUGCAAUUAUUAAUCUUCAACGAGGAAUGCCUAGUAAGCGUGAUUCAUCAAAUCGCGUUGAUUACGUCCCUGCCCUUUGUACACACCGCCCGUCGCUCCUACCAAUUGAAUGUGUUGGUGAGGAGCUCGGAUUGGCAGCAGUUGGUGGUUCGCCACCGGCUAUUGCUGAGAAGUCCUCCAAACCGCCCCAUUUAGAGGAAGGAGAAGUCGUAACA
rnacentral:rRNA from 1 species